rnacentral:lncRNA from 1 species
AUGACGAAUACCCGCAAAAGACACCCGCUAAUAAAAAUUAACUAUUCAGUCAUUGAUCUUCCCACAGCCUCCAGCAUUUCUACCUGAUGAAACUUUGGCUCACUUCUUGGUGCCUGCCUAAUUCUCCAAAUCAUCACAGGAUUAUUUUUGGCCAUGCACUGUUCAUCAGACACCUCAACUGCCUUCUCUUCAGUCACUCAUAUCAGCUGAGAGGUAAACUACGGAUAAAUGGUCUGCUAUUUUCAUGCUAAUGGUGCUUCAAUAUUUUUCAUCUGCCUCUUCUUACACAUUGGCCAAGGGUUAUACUACGGGUCAUUACUAUUCCCAGAAACCUGAAAUAUUGGCAUUAUUCUCCUAUUCACAACUAUAGCAACAACAUUCAUAGGCUAUGUGCUCCCAUGAGCCCAAAUAUCAUUCUGAGGCACUACAGUAAUUACAAAUUUACUAUCAGCCAUCCCAUAUAUUGGAACUGACUUUGUACAAUGAAUCUGAGGGGGAUUCUCAUUUGACAAAGCCACCCUCACACGAUUUUUUGCCUUCCAUUUCAUCUUACCUUUCGUCAUUACAGCUCUAGCAACUGUUCACCUUUUAUUCUUGCAUGAAACAGAAUCUAACAACCCUUCAGGAGUUUCAUCAGACCCCGACAAAAUCACUUCCCCCCGACAAUAUACAACCAAAGAUGUUCUAGGUUUAAUUUUUCUCCUCCUCCUUCCCGACCUCCUGAGCGACCCAGAUAAUUACACUUUAGCCAACCCCCUCAAUACCCCACCCCACAUUAAGCCAGAGCGGUACUUUUUGUUUGCAUAUGCAAUCUUACGAUCUAUCCCUAACAAAUUAGGAGGCGUACUGGCCCUCGUAUAUUCCAUUCUCAUUCUAGCAGUUAUUCCAGUACUUCACAUGUCUAAACAACAAAGCAUAAUAAGUUAUUAAGUCAAUGCCUAUUCUGAAUCCUAGUGGCUGACCUGCUUACACUCACAUGAAUCAGAGGGCAGCCAGUCAAAUAUCCUUUCAUUGCCAUCGGACAGACAGCAUCUAUCAUGUACUUCUCUACCAUUCUCACCCUUAUACCACUCACUACCGUAAUUGAAAAUAAACUUCUUAAAUGA